UUUGGUUCUCGUAACUGUAGCCGUGCCACUCGAAGAACAUGACUGUAACAUCACUUCACUCUUUUGAGACUCAUGAGGUACAAAUUUCUUUUAUGUUGGUAAUACACUUUUUAAUUUCGGUAUUCUGAUUUGUCAAAAUUUAGUAGAUCAGUUUAAAAAAUUGUUUUGUCAUGAAUAUCCAAAAAUUUCUUUGACCUUCGUUAUCUUUUAAUGAAUUCCUAUCUUUACUUGAACAAAUUGAGAGUCUACUCUUACAAGUUGAACAAUUCUAUGCUCACAUCCCUUUCUACAUUUAUCACAACUGUGGUCUCCGAUGAGCUAUUACAACAUCUAGAUUUUGCCAUACAAGUCGCAGUCUCUCAUUGCCUUUGUGAAAUAGUAUUAUGUAUCACGACACCCGAUACCUCUUAUUUUCAUCAUUUGCAUAUUUUACUAACACAUCCACCAGCUUAUAUACUAACGGAGUUAGGAUACUUGAAAUUAUGGUUAAUGUGAGAUAUUGCAUCGUUAUGUUGAAUCUAGACAGCCAGUAUAUGAUAUUUGACACAUUCCAACACUUUCUUUCAGCCCUACAAGAAGCUCAUCUGGGGAAUAUCUUCACUUACAUAGAGACUAUUAUGACCUUUAUUUGGGAGAAAAUGACAAUAUCUAUUUAGGCUUGAUUACACUUCUCAAAACCUUCACAGCCACCUCGGUCACCACCUCGUCGACACCACACAUUCAUCACCUGAAACUCCCAGCCAACGAUUUCCCGCCAACAUCGAACUUGAUUAUCGCGUACAACCUUUUCCACCUCUCUAUUCAAGUUCGUCACCAACCCAAACUGAUGACAACUGAUCACCAGGACCACCAUACACAGAACACGACAGCCAAAGAACCAUCGCGACGAAUGUGUGGAUUUAGAUAGUAUGGGCUGGUUUUGUUGGGCUAUUUGGUUUGUUGAACCUUUUGUGGGUUGAUUAUAUGGUCCGUAAUAUUGGUGAUCGGGUUAUUGGGUAUGUAUUGAGUGAAAUGUUACUUGG
rnacentral:lncRNA from 1 species